UUUGGGGUGAAAGCCCGUUGCUCAACAACGGAACUGCCCUGGAAACUGGAUGGCUUGAGUACAGACGAGGGUGGCGGAAUGGAUGCUGUAGCGGUGAAAUGCAUAGAUAGCAUCCAGAACCCCGAUUGCGAAGGCAGCUGCCUAGACUGUAACUGACGCUGAGGCACGAAAGCGUGGGGAGCGAACAGGAUUAGAUACCCUGGUAGUCCACGCUGUAAACGAUGCAUACUAGGCGUUGGCUUUUCGGAGCCAGUGCUGCAGUUAACGCAUUAAGUAUGCCACCUGGGGAGUACGUCGGCAACGAUGAAACUCAAAGGAAUUGACGGGGGCCCGCACAAGUGGUGGAGCAUGUGGUUUAAUUCGAUGAUACGCG
rnacentral:rRNA from 1 species